GCUAAAAAUCUAACCCCACUUUAUGUUAUGCUAUAUGUAAACUUUAAUCAUUUAAUUAAAACAUUUUUACAACUUAGUAGAGGCGAUCAAAAAAUUAAUUGGAGUUAUAAAUUAUGUACCGCAAGGGAAAGAUGAAAUAAAAAUGAAAACAUCAAGCACAAAAAAGUAAAGAUUAAGUCUUGUACCUUUUGCAUCAUGGUUUAACUAGCUUACCCUAGCGAAACGAUUUUAAGUCAGACUCCCCGAAACUAAGUGAGCUACUUCAAGGCAGCUUAAUGAGCAUAUCCGUCUCUGUUGCAAAAGAGUGGUGGGACCUUCAAGUAGAGGUGACAGACCUAACGAACUUAGUGAUAGCUGGUUGCUCGAGAAAAGGAUUUUAGUCCCGCCCAAAGCAAACAUUAUUAUUUUUUUAAACAAAAUUUUUAGCUUUAGAGUAAUUCAAUUAAGGUACAGCCUAUUUGAAACAGGAUACAACCUUGCCUAAUGGGUAAAUAACAUGCUACAUCUUUAAGUAGGCCUAAAAGCAGCCACCUUUUAAAAAGCGUCAAAGCUUCGCUAUGUUAAUAUUCAAUACCAACCUCACAAAUUAACCCUUUAUCGUCAUUGAGCAAAUCUAUACAUCUAUAGAAACUUUUAUGUUAAAACUAGUAACAAGAAUUAGAUUUUCUCUUUAUGUAAGCUUAAAUCAGAAUGGACACACCACUGAUAAUUAACACCUAUGAAUCGAAAGUAGCAACCCAACAAGAAAACUCUUCUGUACUCAAUGUUAAUCUAACACAAGCACAUAUUAAGAAAGAUUAAAAGAAAAAGAAGGAACUCGGCAAAUAUUAACCUCGCCUGUUUACCAAAAACAUCGCCUCUCGUAGAAUUUGAGAGGUCCAGCCUGCCCAGUGACCUUGUUCAACGGCCGCGGUAUCCUAACCGUGCGAAGGUAGCGUAAUCACUUGUUCUUUAAAUAAGGACUAGUAUGAAUGGCACCACGAGGGUUAUACUGUCUCCUUUCUCUAAUCAGUGAAACUAAUCUUUCCGUGAAGAAGCGGGAAUUAUCCUAUAAGACGAGAAGACCCUAUGGAGCUUUAAACUAAUAACACCUGCUAAUUUAAAUAUUUAUUCUGAUUUUUAACCUAUAUUCUAGCACAAUGAUUAAGAGUUUUAGGUUGGGGUGACCGCGGAGUAAAAAUUAACCUCCACAUUGAAUUAGAGCAUAUCUAAGCAAAAAACCACAUCUUUAAGCAUCAACAAACUGACAUUUAUUGACCCAAUAAUUUGAUCAACGAACCAAGUUACCCUAGGGAUAACAGCGCAAUCCACUUUGAGAGCUCUUAUCGACAAGUGGGCUUACGACCUCGAUGUUGGAUCAGGGUACCCCAGUGGUGUAGCCGCUACUAAAGGUUCGUUUGUUCAACGAUUAAAACCCUACGUGAUCUGAGUUCAGACCGGAGUAAUCCAGGUCAGUUUCUAUCUAUAAGGGGAUUUUUCUAGUACGAAAGGACCGAAGAAACAUGGCCUAUGUAAAAUACAAGCCAUUAUUACUAAUUUAUGAAAUAAACUUAAUUGAUUUGUAACCCAUAUCUUAAGCUUAAAACCAAAGCAG
rnacentral:rRNA from 1 species